rnacentral:rRNA from 1 species
UCCAGAGAUGGAAUCGUGCCUUCGGGAACUCUAACACAGGUGCUGCAUGGCUGUCGUCANCUCGUGUCGUGAGAUGUUGGGUUAAGUCCCGCAACGAGCGCAACCCUUAUCUUUAGUUGCUACCAUUUAGUUGAGAACUCUAAAGAGACUGCCGGUGAUAAACCGGAGGAAGGUGGGGACGACGUCAAGUCAUCAUGGCCCUUAUGGGAUGGGCUACACACGUGCUACAAUGGGGGGUACAAAGAGCAGCCAACUGGCAACAGUGCGCGAAUCUCAAAAAACCUCUCGUAGUCCGGAUCGGAGUCUGCAACUCGACUCCGUGAAGUCGGAAUCGCUAGUAAUCGCGGAUCAGAAUGCCGCGGUGAAUACGUUCCCGGGCCUUGUACACACCGCCCGUCACACCAUGGGAGUGGAUUGCAAAAGAAGUAGGUAGCCUAACCUUCGGGAGGGCGCUUACCACUUUGUGGUUCAUGACUGGGGUGAAGUCGUAACAAGGUAGCCG